AACAAACGUUGGUUACAUUUCUUUAUGCUAUUUGUCCCCGUCACCGGUUUAUGGAUGAGUGCUAUUGGCGUAGUUGGCCUGGCUCUGAACUUACGUGCCUAUGACUUUGUUUCCCAGGAAAUCCGUGCAGCGGAAGAUCCUGAAUUUGAGACUUUCUACACCAAAAAUAUUCUUUUAAACGAGGGUAUUCGUGCGUGGAUGGCAGCUCAGGAUCAGCCUCAUGAAAAUCUUAUAUUCCCUGAGGAGGUUCUACCACGUGGAAACGCUCUUUAAUGGAACUUUCGUUUUAGCUGGUCGUGACCAAGAAACCACCGGGUUUGCUUGGUGGGCUGGGAAUGCCAGACUUAUCAAUUUGUCCGGUAAACUACUUGGCGCCCACGUAGCCCAUGCCGGAUUAAUCGUAUUCUGGGCCGGAGCAAUGAACCUAUUUGAAGUGGCCCAUUUCGUGCCAGAAAAGCCCAUGUAUGAACAAGGGUUGAUUUUACUUCCACACUUAGCUACCCUAGGUUGGGGAGUCGGGCCAGGGGGAGAAGUUCUUGAUACUUUUCCGUACUUUGUAUCUGGAGUACUUCACCUAAUUUCCUCCGCAGUCUUAGGCUUCGGUGGCAUUUAUCACGCGCUUCUGGGACCCGAGACUCUUGAGGAAUCUUUUCCAUUCUUUGGUUAUGUAUGGAAAGAUAGAAAUAAAAUGACUACAAUUUUGGGUAUUCAUUUAAUUUUGUUAGGUCUAGGUGCUUUUCUUCUAGUACUCAAGGCUCUUUAUUUUGGCGGUGUAUAUGAUACCUGGGCCCCCGGGGGCGGGGGGGGAUGUAAGAAAAAUAACCAACUUGACCCUUAGCCCCGGUGUUAUAUUUGGUUAUUUACUAAAAUCCCCUUUUGGGGGAGAAGGCUGGAUUGUUAGUGUGGAUGAUUUAGAAGAUAUAAUUGGUGGACAUGUAUGGUUGGGUUUCAUUUGUGUAUUUGGCGGAAUUUGGCAUAUCUUAACCAAACCUUUCGCAUGGGCUCGCCGUGCAUUUGUAUGGUCUGGAGAAGCUUACUUGUCUUAUAGUUUAGCAGCUUUAUCUGUCUUUGGUUUUAUCGCUUGUUGUUUUGUCUGGUUCAAUAAUACGGCUUAUCCGAGUGAGUUUUAUGGACCCACCGGCCCAGAAGCUUCUCAAGCUCAAGCAUUUACUUUUCUAGUUAGAGACCAGCGUCUUGGAGCUAAUGUGGGAUCUGCUCAAGGACCCACAGGUUUAGGUAAAUAUCUAAUGCGUUCCCCAACGGGAGAGGUUAUCUUUGGAGGGGAAACUAUGCGUUUUUGGGACCUCCGUGCUCCAUGGUUAGAACCUCUAAGGGGGCCCAACGGUUUGGACUUGAGUAGGUUGAAAAAAGACAUACAACCUUGGCAAGAACGACGUUCAGCGGAAUAUAUGACCCAUGCUCCUUUAGGCUCUUUAAAUUCCGUGGGUGGCGUAGCUACCGAGAUCAAUGCAGUUAAUUAUGUCUCUCCUAGAAGUUGGUUAUCGACUUCUCAUUUUGUUCUAGGAUUCUUCUUUUUUGUGGGCCAUUUGUGGCAUGCAGGAAGAGCCCGAGCUGCUGCAGCAGGUUUUGAAAAGGGAAUCGAUCGUGAUUUAGAACCUGUUCUUUACAUGAACCCUCUUAACUAAGAUUUUCUUAUUUAUACCUGUUCUACUUCUACUGUUUUUUUCUGCUCUGGCUCGGUUAUUUCAUUUAGCCGAGCCAUUCAUUCCUUUUUCUGAAUGAAAGAUAAGGGGACAGAAUAAAGAAAAAAAAAUGAAAGAAACAAACGUAUUCAAUAAGCAAAAGGAGAGAGAGGGAUUCGAACCCUCGAUAGUUCCUAGAACUAUACCGGUUUUCAAGACCGGAGCUAUCAACCACUCAGCCAUCUCUCCACAGCUUAAUCCCUAUUUUACUCCUAGAAAUAGAACACAGCCAUAUAAAAAUAAAAGGAUCUACUAACCUCUAGAAACAUCUCAGAUGCAAAUCCUUUUUCGAUAUAUUUCUGUAUACUGUAUACACGGAUAGAAGAUCCGCUAUACCCGCUUUUGAAAUAAAGACUAAAUCCCCUACCCUAAUCCCCAUAUCCAAAUAAAAGCGGUAAGUAAUAAGUUUUAAUUAUUAAUUAAAGAGAAGAAUCAAUGGAUUCAUGAUUAAACCCCUCCUACUUCUUGUAUUUUUUACAAUUUAGGUUAAGUGAGGGAUCAAAUAUGUAGUCAACUUUAUUUGAUGAUAGCUUGGAGGAUUAGAAAUAUGACUAUUGCUUUCCAAUUAGCUGUUUUUGCAUUAAUUGCGACUUCCUCAGUCUUAGUAAUUAGUGUACCCCUUGUAUUUGCUUCUCCUGAUGGUUGGUCAAAUAAUAAAAACGUUGUUUUUUCCGGUACAUCAUUAUGGAUUGGUCUAGUCUUUCUCGUAGCUAUUCUGAAUUCUCUCAUUUCAUAAAUUUGUUUAGUAUUGAGUAACCCGAUACAAAAUAAAUAAAAAGGACAUUUCUUCGAAAAAAUUCGAAUAGUGAGACGCAUUAAAACGCAAUUUGCGUUCCGAAUUGCUACCUCUUCUCUUUCAGUAUUAUGAAAUUGCAUUGCCAUUAGAAUAUUGAUUGACAGACAAUCAAAAAAAGGAAAACUCUAAUAUAAUAGAAAAUGAAACGGUCGACCCAGACAUAGACGGUCGACCCAAGCGGAUAUACGCUAUAAAAUAUAUUCCGUAGCGAGCGUAGUUCAAUGGUAAAACAUCUCCUUGCCAAGGAGAAGAUACGGGUUCGAUUCCCGCCGCUCGCCCGCUUACUUUAGUCAAGUACUAUGAGAAAAAAUUUAGUCUAGUUGAAUGUUUAACUACUUAGAAUAAAUUAUAUAUUAAUUAGGUGUUAGUCUAGUACCCUAUCCCUUAUUACCCUUACUUUUCACCCCACUCAAAAAAAGGAGGGCUCCGGAGAGGGAAAUAGAACUCUCCAACAGGGGGGUAUUCACUGAGACAAAGAACUGGCAAACUGCUUUUAAAGGGAAGGGAGGUAGACUGUGCGUUUCUUUCAUUUUUCUUUUCUGCAGGGUAGGGAGAAACCUUGCCUGUUCUUCUUAUGGAGGCAGGCGGCUUCGCAGACUGCUCAAUUUUGCCCUCUAAGGCCAGGAAGUAAUGAAUAAAAAAAUUGGAUUGGAUACCACCCAACCCUGUACCAUAUAUAUAGAAAUGGAAUAGUCCUUUUAUUUUCCGUUGACAGGGCAAGAGAAACAUCAGGAAUAACAUGUAAUCCGUCCGAUCCUAAAUUGUUGUCGAAAUAUUACAUGUAUCUAGACGCUUUUUAAGAAUAGAUACAUCUAUAUUUGGCCAAAUUUGAGUCAACAUACUCUAGGUGCUAGUGUCAAACUGCACAGUAAAGAAGCAGGACACAUGUCAACAAAGUAACACUGCAGCAUCAUAAUCCCCUUGCAAUAUGAGAAUCGCCCUGAAACUUACAAAAUAAAAAUGCAGCUUCAAAAGGUCAGCAUCACAAACCCUCAGCACACAGGGAUCAGCAGCAUUCCAGUGUUCUUAGAGGAAUAGCUCAACUAUAUACUCAUGGAAAUUAUUCUCCAGAUCACAUGACAUAAUGAAAUGUAUUCCUGACAGGCUUGAUGAAGAAUGAAAAUGAAUAAGUAGUUAAGCCGUUCAUAUUUUACACAUCACAUUACAAUACUGUACGAGACGAGUAUAAUGACUCUUCUACUAACUUAACCUCUUGGAGCUGAUCUCACCAAGAAAGGAAACUACAUUUAUCGACAGUUAAAGGGGCCUCUGCAGGCAUGCAUGUAAUCAUGUAAACGGCGGGCUAUCCGAGUAACCAUAUGAGCAAAUAGCGUUCACCCUCCCGAUCAACUGAGGAAAAUGUAUACAGGCUGAAGGAAACAAGGUAUUGCAUGAUCGAUUGGUUAAGUCGGAAUUGCCAUAGUGAGGCUUUACAGCUGGAGGUGACCUUUUCUUCCAGGAAAUUAUCAGACCCACAAUUUUCGCCUCGUCAGGGUAACAUUAUGUUUGUGUGCACAUCCUCCAGUACCAACUAGCAUGUCCAAUGGACAUCACAUCUAGUUUUACUCUUGUUCCGACAUGAUAAUUGGAAAAGGUUGCCUCGUUAUCAUGGCACAGAACUCUGGCUGAUUAUGCCCAUCUGCAAAAGCAGAAGGUUUUUAGAACAGAAUGAAAAGGACAUUCAGCGCACAAAUACGAUGGUGGCUCCAUCGGUACCAAGUUUAAAACAGUUUACCAAAGUGUUUUCCUUCGAGUCCAGACCACAGUAUUAAUAAUUCGCAACGAAAUAUAUGCAUGUACCUAUGUUCUCCAUCAUGCGAACCAUCGCCCUUUCUUGAUCGUUUUCAGCUCCAUCACUAAUCGUUCCCGCUGAGCCUCUACCUCUGCAUACUCCAAGCUCAUGUUGAGUAAACGCUCUUUCAUAUCUCUUAGCUCUCCUUCCAAUUGCAAAAUCCUGUCGGUAUUGUUCACCUUGCCAUCCUCACCAGCAGAUUGCCCCUCAGGCAUGGGACUGUGCAGAAUAGAAAAUUAUUAGACUGCGAGAAAUUACAAAAUAACCAAAAUCCACAUCACUUAUUUUGGGUCUGAGGGAGUAGAAUAUCGCAUACUGCAGUUUUUUUUAUUUCAAACCGCUCUAGCCUCGUUUCCAUUACUUCCAUUACGAAAAUAAAUUACAGACCGCAAUUGCAGAUUCAAAGGUUAAAACGAUAUUCCAUUAGAAAAAAAAAAGAACUUUUUGACGACCUGUCACUUGUCAAUGACCCGAUGCUUACACUGACUAAAGCAUAACAAAAUCGAAAUGUAAUAGGAGUAGCAAUAUAUUAGACAUUUCUAUGUUUUCACAGAUAGAUAUGCCAUUUCUACGUAUCAUGACAUCUCAUAGGAUAGCUUUUAUGUUCAGAUUGUGGAUACCUCUUUUCUUGAGCCCUGUACAUCCUAUUUUCCUCCAAAGCCUCUGCAAGCUUCAUUUCUAGUAAUUGAAUCUUUGACUGAAUGUCAGUUUCCCCAUUAUCUGUAGAAUAUCCAAUGUCCUGGAAAUACAAGGAAAUAAUACAUGGGAUAGCCAGACAUUAGGAACAUCAAUGCAUUGAAUUUUUUAAACGUCACAAAUUCACAGCAAGUGCUUUAUAUGGCUAACCUGCUUUCCAUCGAGUUGAGCUUGCCUAGUGAGAUCCUCAAUUUCCUGCUCAAGAGACUGUAUCUUCCUCUGAUAUUCACUAUUUGAUCUUCUGAUCCUACUAAGUUCGUUCUUUAACUCUGCUUCAUGUACAUGUGAUGCUUCCGAUGCCGACAGAUCACUCUCCAGUCUCACAAGCUUUGCUUGCAUAGAUCUUCUGCUUCGUUUUUCUUCUUCACCACUCUUCAAAGUCUCCUCCAUAUUGGACACUUUAUCUGUUAGCAUAGCUUUCUGUGCCUUCAGUUCUUCACAUUCCUCAGUCACAGAUUGCUGUAGUUCCUCGAGUUUUCCCUUUUCAAACUUAGUCUCAUCAAGGGAAUUUCUAAGCUUGAAAACUUCAUCUUGAAGACUCGUUAUUUUCUGUACCUGAAGUUUCAGACCGGAAAUUUCUUCCAUCAGCUGCUGUUUCUCAUAAUCACUGGAUUUAAGUUUUAGCUCUAGUUCACCAGAGGUCAUCCUUAGAUCAUCUUCAUUGGACUUGGCAGCUUCCAUUAACUUUUUCAUAUGUUCAGCAUCUGCGGUCAACAUUUCCUCGCUCUGUUUGGAUGCAUUAAGGGAAUCGACCAAACCUUUAAUCUUGUUUUUGGACUCCUUCCGAAGGUCUUCUAUCUGAGACUCAUAAUGUCUCAACUGUUCACUAACAUUUUCGAAAUUAGCCUCAAGUUUAGCCUUGUCAGCUCGCAGGAUAGAAACCUCUCGAAUGGCAUCCACUGUGGCAUUUUCUCUCUCCUCGUGUGUGGAGGACACCUGUGCACUAAGACUCAUGACCUCCCUCUCAAGAUUCUCUACUUCAAGAGUCUUUUCUUUCUCGAUCUUAUUCAACAUGAAAUGAGCACGAUUUAUUUUUUCUUCUUGCUCCAUGUGCUCCUGGAAUAUACUCUCCAGUUCUGAGAGUAAAGAUUGCUCUUUGGAAGAUAUGUCUUUCUGAAGUGAAGUAAGCUUUGUCUCUAGGAAUUCCACAGUUUUACAAAACUCGAAGUUCCUUUUUUUCGAGUUAUCCAGUUCCUGCUCUUGUUGCGUAAAACGGCCAUGCAAUUCCAACUUCUGCCUCUUGAGAUCUGCAAUUAGAUUUUGAAGAGAACUGCACUCUUCAAUAAGGUUCUCAACUGUAGAUUGUAGAUUCGAAUUAGAUCUUCUCAGAACUUCUGAAUCAUCCUGCGCUUCGGUCAAUUUUCUUUGAGCUUCUUGUUGCUUUUGCUUAAACUCAAGCCUUAUGGUAUCCAUCUCUACUUGUUGUCGCUCUACUUUAUCUUUGAGAUUGAUGACAAGUGAUUUGGAGUCAUGCAUCUGCAGCUCGCUUGACUCCUUUUCAUUUGUCAUGUAAGAUAACUGAGCUUCCAGUCCAGAUAUCCGUUCUGACAACUCUAUAUUUUCCUGUUCCAGUUCUGAUAUAUGCAACUCUAGUUCAGCUUUGCAGCUUUCAAGUUCAGUUAUCUUUCUUUCGAGAACCUUAUUAGCAGACACAUGUGAAUCUACGCUGCUAGAAAGCACAAAAAUAUCUUGCUGCAGUUCAUCCAAGCAUUUUGAAGUGAUGCUACUUUCUUUAACUGAUGCUGCCAAGCGCUCCACUAACUGACUCUUCUCUGCCUGAAUUUCAGAAAUAAAACUUUCUGUUUCAACUUUGUAGCGUCGCAAGUCAUCAGUUUCUUGUUGUUGUAGCUGAACUCUAGUCUUCAGCAUAUCGGCCUCCGAUUUGCUAUCUUCUAGAUCUUCUCUUCUAAAUUGGUAUCCUCUCGCACCACCAGUUUCACUACCUUCCUGUUCUGUAGAAUGGAAGCUUUCAAGCUCAUCUCUCGACUUAGAUAGCUCAAGAUUUUUUUGUUCUAGCUCUUCUUGGCUUUUUUGGAACUUCUCUUCGAGUUCACCGGCCUGAGACCUAAAAUGUACCAGCUUCAACUCAAGGUCAGCACACUUUCUCUGUAAUUCUUUGGCGUUGGACAUUGAUGCCUCAGUGAAACUGCCAAUAUGCAACAUUUCCUUAUUCCUAAGUUCCUCUUCCAGUUGAUCUAUUUUUGAUGUAAGCUUUUCAAUUUGCAAUUCACCGCUGUUUGAAACACAAGAGACCUGCCCUUGUGACGCCCCGUUUUCUUUGAGCUUAUAUAUAAGCUCCAGAUUUUCAUCUGUUAGUUCAGAACAAUCUUUCUCGAGUUCUUGUAUUUUAACCCUUAAAAUUUCAUUUUCUUUCUCCAAUUCGAGAUAAACCGCAUCAGAACCUGCAACACCUGCAGUUUCAAUAUUGAGAACACGAUCAAGUUUCUCCCUCAACAUUGUGAUUUCAUCAUCUUUCAUUGACAGUUUCCUAGCCCAUUCUGUGUCUUCUUUGACAAACAACCCAUCUUUUGAGACACCAGGGUUAGUGACAUCCUUGACCUUAGAAAUUUCCGCUCUCUGUUCUUCUAUGGUCUCUUCCAGUUCCUGAAGAAUAGAAACGAGCUCUAUAUUUGCCUCUUGGGUAUUCUUCAGUUGUACCGUUAAGUUUAAAUUUGAUUCUUUCAGAAACUUCAUCUCAUCUUCUAGUUCCUUCUGCAGAUCGAUCCAGUCCCCUCGUUUGGGGGUUCCUGAUUUGGUUUGCCGUGUGGUUACCUCUUGCCGAGAUGACUUCAAUUCUUCGAUUUCUUGCCUAUAGGAAUCCCGCUCUGCAUGUGCAGCAGACAGUUCAACAGCUAGCUCAGUCUGUUGCCUGGAUUUCUCGGAACAUUCCUUCUUCAGUGCCUCUAGAUCAGCCUUCAAUUUGCGAGAAUGCCGUUCCCACAUCUUUGCCUCAUCACGGAGUUCCUCAAUUGUUUCUUCAGCAGCUUCAAGAAGAUCUUUAGAUGAAUCCGAUGUCCCCAAUGAUGACUGAGCAAUCCCAUUUGAAAAUGAUUUUGGAGUAUUUCCUUGCAGCACGUUUGGACCUGAAGCCCGGGAACUGAAAGAUGAAUUGUUUGAUCUGAAUCCUUCAUCACCACGGCCAGCGCUAGCAUAGGAACUAGCUGAAUCCUGCCUUCCCACGUACAGCCCGCCAUUAGAGUUGGCUAUAGGAGACAGGUUUGCUCUAUCCACUGUACUAUCUCCAGAAUUGGAACUCCGAUGAGACCCUGAGGCUGAGAAACUCAUUUCCUAAAAGGGGAAAAAAACAAGGAAUUGACUUUACACAUAAUGCUCUGAUAGUAGGGCGUCACAUAUAAAAAAAAUGUGAUUUAGAUUUGUAACCCGUUAACAAAAUAUACUCACAUUCACUGAGCCACAGUUCCCAUGCAAGACAAAAUAUUUUAUUUAUUAUUUACAGUAAUCAAUAUCACUAGCGAAAGAGAAAAUGCAGUAAUAUUCAUAGAUCGGAUUAGCUAGAUUUUGUAGAGAGACAGAACACGUAGCAUGGAAAGUUGGAAACGAGAACAGCUAAAUCAAUCUUUUUUAUGACAUAUAAUCUAUUUUACUGGCCACCAAUGAGAAAUUUUACGAUGUCUAUAGGCACAAGAAACAGGUAAUGACAAGUUAACUCGAGCGCCCAGAAGAGUGGUAUGGCUGGUACUGAAAAUAUAUGUCCAAACGAUUGAGAGUCAAGUUGUACUACAAAACAAAAAUUGUAAGAUGCAAACAGACACACAUAGCCAAAAGCAUGCACUCUUGACGAAGGAAAAACUGAUCUGUAAACUGAACUUAAGAUGGAGAAAACUAUUGUAAGUACAGACAUACCCUGUUUCCAGAUUCGUCUUGAUAAGUGCCGACUAAAGGAUUUCCUGACGAAGAACGAACACUAUUGUUGAACAUAUUGUCAGAGCCAUCUGAUUUGUUAUCCAUAUCAUCAUUUAUUGGAGAACGAUUAUCGACGCGAGGAGGCAUGUCCUUCGAAGACCUCAUACCACUGUAUAGAGCCAAGAUUAGAAAACAAUAUCAAGACUUACAGGCAGAAAACAUUAUUGAAGAACGAUACAAAGUGAUUAAAGGGUCUUCAACAUGAACGUGUGCUGUGUGGACACCGGAACUACAACAUGGAGAGUAAGAAAAGGAAGAGUAACAGUUAGUUACCUCAACUUAGACUUUGUGCCAAUACAUUGAACUUUAAGCUGCACAGGAGAAACAAUGAAUGCCACCAUGAGCAGAAUAAAUGAAAAGGCAAUGAGCACUUGAGAGUUGAGUGAGUCGGCACCAUUUUCAGGUUACAGGAUCACAUAGAAAAUCACAAAAAAUCUUCAAAAAUGAAAGAUUACAUAAACUCGCUUACCUGUAAGACUGUUCCAGAAUUGCAUCUCUUCAAUGGCAGAGAGAUAGCAGUCGGGUCCACCAAAUUCAGAAAGUUGGACAGGUUUAGGAAAAUUUCCCCUAGAAUAGCAGUUUUUAUCGAUCCCUGCAACAUGAGAGGCAGUGACCCGAUGGUUUAGCUCAGCAGCAGAAAUAUCAUAGAUGCUGAACAGAAUUCUUGAAAUUGAAAAAGCGAACUGCACAAAAGCAUUAGUAUGCUACGGACAUCCGUACCAUAGAAACAACAAUCUUGUAUUGGCACUCAUAGAAUUCUUUUGACACUUCAUCUCGAGAAAACCAAAUUGGUUCCAAUAUGGAAUCAGGCCAUUGACAGAUUCCGCUGCGGGCGGCUGUUUUACUGGAUUUGGCGAUUGUUUUUCCAGUAUCCACUGAGAUUAUUGAAAGGAAUAGCCUGUCCGAUACCGCAGGGACCUGUUGAACACAAAUCAAACCAAUGAGAGAUUUUUUUUUAAAAAAGAUAAAAAAGGAACAUAUGUACCGCGUGCACUGCAAGAAAUGCACCUGAAAUCAGAAAUGUACUGAAAAAAUAAUUAUUAUGCCGAGUCGUUUACUUCAAGACAACAACUCAUCUCAGACUAUCACCUGUAUGACAUUCCCCUUAUGGGAUUGUUAAGGGCGUUGAUUGAAUUCUAGUUCAGAUUAAAAAAACUAGAAUUAUAAGACUAGUUGACUAGUAUUUCUCCCUUUAUCGCAUAGCAGCAACCAAUUUGUCCCAAAAAAAAUUUUUGGGUGAAUUUCAGAAACAACGAGCAACACGGAGAGUGGAGUAUCAUAUCAUGUUUGCUCAACAUUGUGCUCCCUUGCAACGCCCCCUUAACAUGACCGAAGGAACGCUUUGAUCACAGGUAGUGGUCCACUAAACAUAUAUAGUUACACUGAAUUGCAGUACUCUAGGCCAGGUACGGACAAGAACUAGCAAGGAACCCUCUAGGUAGGCAGGUAGCAGCUACCCCAGCAGCCACUCACCUGCUGGCAUUAAUCCUGAAAUCCCAGCGGUGGUGUGUAUGCUAAUCCUACCAACCCCGGCGUAUGUAUGUGUGUAGGAUGCCUCUGCUGUACUGUAUCCAAGUGGAUGAAUCGACGAGCAAAGCGGCGAGGGCGAGACCAGGUAGCUACCGAUUUGACGGAGAUUCAUCCCCCAAUGCAGCCGCCGCCGCCACAAGAGGUGGUAGCUAGACGCUUAAGGCCGGAGAGGGGGCCGGCGGGCAUAGCAGAAGAGGAGGAGGAAAUCUGAGGGACGGACCUGGACGGCGCGGAAGCUGGAGAACCUGAACUCGUAGCGCUCGCCGACGCUGCGGUCCGACGAGCGGUGUCGGUGCAGCUUGAACAUCCUCCUCUCCCGCCGCAGGCGAAUCAAAUCGAUCGAGCGAUCGAUCCUCCUGCCGUCCUGCGCGGCCGGCAGCGCAGGCCGGCUGCAGAUUGGGAGCUCCUCCGCCCUCCUCCGAGCACUGCACUGCUACCGCUAGACUGCUUGCUACAAGUCCUCCUCCCGACCGGCGAGCAGGACGCGAAUCAUUGCGCCGCGAAGGCGAAGCACCCACCGAGCUAGAGCUGCUAGAGAAAGCGGUAGGAAGGAGAAAGGGGAAUCUUAGGAAGAAGAAAAGGAAAAAAAAAAACUUGGCUUUGCGAGAUUUCUUAGGUGAGCCGGCUUGUCCAUUUGCGCGUGGCGUUUUAAUCAAAAUAAUUACGAGGAGAAGAAAUAGAAGGAAUGGUGAGCUGUUUGACCGACCGGUGGGCCUCUUCCCUUCCCGGCCGGCAGCAUUGUGCUCUCCGGCAGGCCGGUUUUGCCUAAUUAACCCCCUUUAAUUUUGUGUUUUACUACCGUCUUGCUCCAAGAGUAACCCUGCCGUAAAAGGCCAUUAACCGGUGCUGUAACAGUAAAAUGCGUGUAAUAAGUGAUUUUGAGGAUGGAUUAAGACAGGAGGCAGAGGACAGGGAGGUUGGUGAGUCAGCUCAGCUGGGCUUAUUUGCUUGCUUGCUUGCGCAUCACCUACACUACAGUAGAGUGAUGUGACGUUUAACAAGGUGGAAGCUCUAGUAUUUGGAGUCGGAUUAUCAUUCAUGUUGCGUGUUCCUUUCUCAGCUUUUGGACGGCCAACUAGCAUUAGCAUUUUGUGUGUCCCGGUGGAGCCUCGUUGCAGCUGACAGUUCUUGCUUGUCUGCAUCCAUCGAUCACGUGCGGCUGGAGUGUCGCGUGUGCCUUGCUUGUCCUGCAGAGCCGGCCGGGCGGUAAUUUGAUCAGAGUAUAUAUGCAAGAGCGGUAUAUCCAUUUUAGUAAUUAGGUGCAGGUCGCCUCGAGACAAAUGUCAGUAACAAAGCUAGGGACGCCUUUGUUCGUCGACCGUGACACCUUUUGUUUUUUGGGGCCGUGUUGCUUUAAAAAAAUUAAGAUCACCUUUUGUUUUUGUCCCGAAGAAACUACUCGCUAAGAGUAAGAUUUACCUGUAGGCCUAACAAAUGGAGUCAUUUUGGCGGGACUGCUGCAAUCAUUUUCUUGGAUGAGGUAAAUCAAUUUCUUUUUGGUAAACAUGUAAAAUGUGUUAAAAAAAUCUUCUAAGAAGCUAGGGCAAAAGUUUGAAAUUCUAUCUUGUCUUGUUCUCCUGUGACGAAAAACAGCGAUUCUCUAUGGACGAAACGAAAAGGUGGGAGUACUCGUACAUAAAAGUUGUCUUUUAAACACCUUUACGUACGGACCAGCAACAGAAAUACUCGUAGUACAAACAAAAGCUCCUUUGCAAUUAGUACGUACAUCUUUCCGCUCUGAUGCUAGUACUCCGUAGCUUUUUUUUUGUCAAAAGGUUGUCUUGUGUUAAUGAAGAUCCAGGGUACAGUGCAGUGGAGUGCAGUCGGCAGUCCCCUGGAUCGAUCGAUCUCAGUAGGUGCGUCGCUGCCAAGCUGAUUAACUCGAUCCAUGCAUGCAUUAAAAGAAGAAAUUGAGCUAACUCGACGACUUAAAACGAGUGUGUAAGCUGAUUAAUCAAUUAUAUAAUCUCUUCCUUCCACGACGUUGAAAUUCGGCAGCUCGAUGGAUGGGAUAUGUCUGCAACUGCUGCAAGGUAGGCACGCUUUCCAUCAUGGAAUAAUAAUAAUAGGAUAGGUAGGCUAAAUAUAUAGACGGUCGCGGGCGCAUGAUUGAUCGAUUAGCUUCGUCCACAGAUUGGUCAAUCGAUGAUUAUACGAUCGAUCUAGUUUGCCAUCAAGAGUACGAUGAUCAGCCUGUGAUGAUGAUAUCUCGAAAGAAAGAACCCAAUUAAUGCAUGCAUGAACUAAGAGAAGAAAUUAAGGAACUCGAUCGAUGAGGGGCCACUUAAAAGUUAAAACAAGUGUACCUUAAGCUGGUGGACCUGGACAUGUAGGUUGAUUUGCCAUGCACGAACGUCGUUAAGAUGCUACAGCGAUGGACUGAUUAUUGCUUACUCGAUGAUGAUAUGAUCGAUCAUGCAUCCGUCCGUCUCUGUCCAGCUACCCAUGCGUAGCGUAUACAGUAUUUAUACACUAGCUAAUACUGCUCGAUUUCAUUCAUUCUUUUUUUUUUUGCUUGACGUACAUUCGAUUACUUAUAGGGGGUCCCUACAUAUAUAGCACUAGCUACUUAGCUAGUGUGGCAAUGUACGAAUCCAAGCAAUAAUAUACACCUUUUUCUUUUGAGCGAAAACAAUAAAAUACACCUAACGAGGAAGUAAAGAAGAAGAAGAAAUGGCAUCGACAGGCCACGCCAAUGUAACGACUCCAAUGGGCCUCUAAAAAAACGACUCCAAUGAGCCUCUAUAAAAAGCGACUCCAAUGGGCUCUCAUACACGGGCCUGAGCAUCAAUCAGUCGAUAGGCUGAAAAUCAAUAGUCGGCACCGCACCAUCAGACAUCAGUAUACACUCCGCUGGCUGAGGCGGGCUCAAAGGAAACCACGGCCCAGACCAGGUGUAGUAGAAUGGAAAGCCUAUUAUCUGUGGGCUUUUCGCUCAAAAAAAAAGAAAACAAAUCUGUGGGCUUCGAACAACCGAUCGGCCCAACCGUUCGAAGCUCCCCUCAAAAAAAGUAAACGAAAACAAUGGACCAGACAAUACACAGAUGACAGGUGUAAUGAUUACAUUAGAAAAAGUGCAUACAGAAAAUGCAAUAUAUUAUUUUUCACACAUAUAUGUUCAAAGCUUUUAUAAGGAUUCACUACGUCAUUUUAAGUCACGAAACAUGUGGGUCCCCAGUACUCGAAUGCUCCUAGCACAACGGAAAGAACAUGAAGCUCGCAAAAGGAAGGAAAAGAAAGAAAGACAAACAUUGACGCAUUUAUAUGCAUGUACAAAGAUGUCGAAUCAAUCAGUCAACUUGGUGUGGAUCGAGAACACCUGAAUGAAAUCAACAUCGCAAGCACACUGUUAAUUCUUCUGAUCUAUCAGUGAACUGAGCCCCAAGACCAGGAGGUCUGGUUCCUUGUGGUGAAACCAGCCCACCCAGAUUCAAGUCCUAAACUUGACAUGGGUGUCACAUUUUCUUGUGUUAUUUCAGGAUUUAACCGGCACUAUGCUUUCAGUGGUAGGUGACGUACCCGUCAACAGCGAGACGCCUGAGGUGAGUUCGUCAAUCUCUCAAGAUUUGCCGGCUCAGUCUUUCGGAGGUGGUGCUCAUAGGAGUAGGGUGUACGCGCGUGUUGUGAGCGUCUGCGUUUGUACUGUGUUUCUAAAAAAAAAUUCUUCUGAUCAAUCGACAAAUUAAACCUUGACAAUUAACACUACUCCUAUUAUUAACGACAUAUAAGAGAGCCAAAUUAGGCGAGCAAACUAUGUUAGCUUUCGUAGCUAGGUUCUGUAACAUUAGUGCUGACGCGGCCCCCACGAAACUGCGUGCAUGCGACAGCUAGCGCUUAAUAAGACAGGACUGUAGUGUGCAGGCCAGCUGCUAGCUCAACGAUCUUAUCAUUUGCACUCUCCUGAAGAAAAUAUGCAUUUGCACUGAUCGAUCUAUAUUUUGUGUGAACGAGAGUAAACGAUCCAUCGAUGGAGUCAAACAAAACCACUUCUAUUUUAGCCCCAUCAACCGAUCGAGCUAUCAUUCUAUUUCUACGGCCGGAUCGAAUUCGCGAUCCCCCACUAACAAUUUAAUUUAGUAUGUAAAUAUACUUUUUACCUGACGAUUGACGAUUCGUAUCAAUUGAUUGUUACAUAUCUGGAAUUUUGGAUCUCCUUCGCAUGAGAUUGCAUGCCAAAGCAUGCACACUGCUUUUAGCUAAUUCCCCACUAACAAAACCUCAAAUUCGAUCGUUACAUAGUAAUUGUGCGAAUUCGAAUCUUAAAAGUCCCCGAAAAAAGAAAUGCAAAUUAAAAGGAUGCGUCCUAUAUAUAAAAAAUUAAAGAUCAUCAUUAAGAAAGUAUAUCUAUUCUUUCUUUUUUAUGAGACAUCAAGGUAUCGAGUAGGUAGGUAAAGACAGGGAGCAAAGAACAACAAAAUCUAUGUCGACCUGCAGCCAAUUCAGGACGAAUUAGGGAUCGAUCGAGAGGCUCAGAGCAAAAGGCACCGUAAAAUCUGACGUUGCAUGCACUCAACGUAAACACAUAUAAGACCUGUAUCUGAUCGAUCGAUCUACCCUAGCUAGCUAAAUAUAACUGAUAAGACUGCACAUACAUAUUUAGAAGCUACAUAUAAUGUGUGUGUGUGUAGCAUAGCCUGUCAGGUUAAAAGCUGGACAGAAAGAAUGUGAAUGUGCACGUGGCCUGACAGCAACGCCACGCGUACUACUAGCUAGGCUUUACUAGAACUUGAUUAAGACGAUGAGAAUAAUUUCUGAAUUCUUUGUCUGUCCAAAUGCAUAGAGCUGCGAUUUAGCUAGCUCGAUCUAUUUGGUAAAGAAUCCAUGGCCUAGGCCUGGGACGUACGUGUAAUACAUAACAUGUUCAAUCAUACCCGCAGAUAAUUAAUCAACGCUGGAUCACCAGAGGCUGUGAUCGUCCGACAUGUUCUAUCACGAUGCUUUAAUUUGCUAGCUAAGCUGCCACUAAGAUUUCGGCACACGCUAAUUUGGUAGAUUUCCGUCCCUUUCUUCUAGAGAUCAAUUAUAAGUACUGGAGUUUAUAUGCCUUCGCUAACAUAUAGCUAGAAUUUGUCGAUCUGUAAUUAAACACGAUCGAGCAUGGUGAUUAAGGACCAAAUUAAUGCAUGUAUAUAUAUUUUGAAAAUCUCAGGGCAAAAUGGAUCGUUAAUUUGUUCUCUCUCAAUUAACAGAAUCUUAACUAAUUAACAACUCGAGGUAAUUGUAGCACGUUAGCAGCAAAGUUUAGAAAUUUCAUGUAGAUUCAUCUCCCUUGGCGCUGCUGACAAAGCUAGCAUGUAUAUGCAUGCAUGGUGCAUGUAGGUAGAUAUUUCUGGCUCUAGUUGUGCAUGCUCCCCCCCCCCCCCCCCCCCCCUAAUUGGCAAUUUGAUGAUAAAUUACUUCACCUGGCAUGUUGUUGUCAGUACGCUACCUAGACCACUUGGUAAUUAGUGGAGUUCAUUAGUAUACAAUGGUUGGUUUAGUGAACUUUUUACCUCAUUUUGCACUACUUAGCUUGGGUGGAUCGAUCUUCACAUAUGUUUCUAAAAUCAGUAAAACACUGUCAUGCAUGGAUGGAUGGGUUAGUGUGCUAUCCACAAGUACUACUUAAUCAAGGGAUUGGUACCAGCAAAAAGGCUGAUAAGAGAAGGUAAAAGAAACAUACAUAUACAUAUAGAGCAAAAAGCCUCGAGGCUCACGCGAGCGCCGUUUGAGAUCGAUAACAUGAUGCGCACAUCGGCUCGGCUGGAAUCUGAACCUAAUCAAACAAGACCAAGCCAUGUUCACUUCUUGUUUUAAGUUAGCCGACCCAUAAACCCUCUAUAAAUCAAGUGCACUUCAUUUUAGUAAGUCGAAUGCACUUCUCGAGCCGCGAUUGGAUGCCAUGCGGUGCAUCUCGGCAUACUAACCAUUGGGUCUUGCACUUCUCGAGCCGCGAUUGGAUGCCAUGACCCAAUGGUUAGUAUGCCGAGAUGCACCGUAUGGCAUCCAAUCGCGGCUCGUUGACACCAUUGGCUCAGGGAGCAAGGAGCCCCCUCCUACCCCCAACUCUCACACACACUCUACAUGCAAAUUAUAUAUUCUUUUAGCGAAAAUUAUGUGGCUCGAGCUCGUUUCGGAUCCUACCUACAUGCAUAUGGUUAAGCUAGCAAACACAUGCUGCAGAAAGCAGCAUUUAGCACGCCCCUUUCCUCCGGAAAGGCGAUCAAAAAUAAGAUGGAAGCUAGACACCAUAUUGGAGGGAGUAGUUGAUGCGUAGUUGACAUGUGGAAGGGAUGCAACACUAAAAAACUUGAAUCAUGCAUCAUGGCAAAGCACUUGAUGAAAAGAAAUGUUCCAGGAUGGAUGCCAGACCGACACAUCACUCUAUUUAAGUAUAUCUGCUAAACUUCUCCUGGUCUUGGCCAAUCGGGUGAGAGUAUCGGCUCGGCUGUGUGCCGGCCCCAUUGGGUGGCCCUUCCAGUCACGCGAUUAACUUAAUUAUCUAGAGUACUGCCCGGUUAAUCAACUAGAAAGAGGUUUAAUUAGUGGAUGCACAUGGAAGGUUUGAAGCUAAGCUGUGAAGUUGAUACUUCAGUAAAGUACACAAGAAUUAUCAGAAAAGAAGAAGGCAAUCAGCUCGAAAGUGGCAGUGCAGGGUUAAAGUAUUAACAGCGAGCUUAAUUAACUGCUCCCCAUCCAUCUGUCUGGUGUUUAAUUAGGGCCACGAACCGAUUAAUUGAUACAUCGUCUAUCCAUCCACAUGACCUAACUAAGCAGCUAAUCAGCGGCGUCCGCGAGCGAUUAACACUGACAGACGCUUAUUGUCACACUAGUGCUUCAUACUGUUAUUAUGCAAGUAGAUGUGCAAAAGCAUAAGUUAGGCCUUUAAUUUGCAUGCAAAUGCAUGUCCAUGCAGGCGUAUAGCUGCACUAAGUUUACAGCGGCAGUCUCUCUCCCUCUGUCUGAUGGACAUAUAGAGCUAAGGAAGCCAUAUGCAGGUAAUAGUCUAGCCAGCAUGUGUCUGUAAGUGUAUAUGCUGAUUUUUACGGUCCAUUUGUACGUAUCUGUAUGUAGAAAAGUUGGUAUCCAAGUUAGUAGGUGCUUUUGGGCCAAUAAUAUCCCAGUGCAAACGUAGGUUGGGCGGCGAUGGCAUCAGCAAAACCUAAUUCUUUACAUUACCCUUUUGAUCUCACCACAUUUGACUCUUGCAUUGCUAUACCCGGCCUCUCUGCUUGCUUGUUUGUACGUGCCCUACCUUGCUAGCGAUCUCCCAACGCUCCGUUCUCUAGUUCCAACCCUACAUGACAUCAUAUGCCAGCAAGCUAGCUAGCCGCCCAUCUGCCACACAUGCCAUCUGAAGCACUACUUAUAGCCACCGUGAACACACCCUCUUCGGCAGCCACAGCACAACUGAGCUAGCAAGCGAGCUCACUAAUGCACGCUUGCUCUCCACUACACACUCAAAUCAAGCACUAGGUUAAUUAGCUACCUGGGUAAAUAAUUUGUAUCAUCAAGAUCAUCCAUCAUGGUGCUCGCAUCUCUACCCAAGGUGGUCCUUGGCUCGAUCGCCUUCGGCAUCUUCUGGAUGAUGGCGGUGUUCCCGUCGGUGCCAUUCCUCCCCAUCGGACGGACCGCCGGCUCGCUCCUCUCGGCGGUCCUCAUGAUCGUCUUCCACGUCAUCAGCCCGGACGAUGCCUAUGCCUCCAUCGACCUCCCGAUCCUCGGCCUCCUCUUCUCCACCAUGGUCGUCGGCGGCUACCUCAAGAACGCUGGCAUGUUCAAGCAUCUCGGAACCCUCCUAGCAUGGAAGUCCCAGGGAGGGCGUGACCUGCUCUGCCGGGUCUGCGUCGUCACAGCCCUUGCCUCGGCCCUCUUCACCAACGACACCUGCUGCGUCGUGCUCACUGAGUUCGUCCUCGAGCUCGCCGCCGAGAGGAACCUCCCGGCCAAGCCCUUCUUGCUGGCCUUGGCGUCCAGUGCCAAUAUUGGGUCCAGUGCCACCCCUAUUGGGAACCCACAGAAUCUGGUCAUAGCAUUCAACAGCAAAAUCCCCUUCCCCAAGUUCUUGCUUGGGAUUCUGCCGGCCAUGCUCGCUGGCAUGGCUGUCAACAUGGUGAUGCUGCUAGCCAUGUACUGGAAGGACCUUGAGGGUACGAGCCCUUGCAUGGCCAACAACGGUAAGCAGAUGGAGGCCAUCGAGGAAGGCCGGUCUCCCUCCGUGGCAUCCCUCAAGAGCCCGCACCCGAUCACGGGAGCCAUGGUCGUCGAUGACGGCGACUCAAUGAUGGAGGAGAACAUAUCCACCAAGCACCCGUGGUUCAUGCAGUGCACAGAGCAGCGGAGGAAGCUGUUCCUCAAGAGCUUCGCCUACAUCGUGACCGUCGGCAUGGUGGUGGCCUACAUGGUCGGGCUGAACAUGUCGUGGACGGCCAUCACGACGGCAAUCGCCCUAGUCGUCGUCGAUUUCAGGGAUGCCGAGCCGUGCUUGGUGAAGGUGUCCUAUUCGCUGCUGGUCUUCUUCUCCGGGAUGUUUAUCACGGUGAGUGGGUUCAAUAAGACAGGGCUCCCCGGAGCUAUUUGGGACUUCAUGGCGCCCUACUCCAAGGUUGACAGCGUUGGUGGGAUAUCUGUGCUGUCUGUCAUCAUCUUGCUCCUCUCCAACCUCGCCUCCAACGUACCAACAGGUCAGUAUUAUGUAUAUAAAUACUACAUCUGCAUGCAUGCAUAUAUAUAUGGCCCUAAGAAAUACAUUUUUUAGAUAAGCACAUAUACAGAAUUAAUCAGUCACACUAACAGGCCUAGAUACAGGCUCUAUAGCUAUAGUGACAUAAUGAUAAUAUACUAGAUGUGUUGAUGCUGACAUGACAAAGCACUCAAAUAAUAGAUAUUUCUUAAAGUAUAUUAACUCCAAAUUAAACUAAAGUAGUAGAUGAUUAAUUAAUGCUGGUGCGGCUGCAAUUAGCAGGCGUGGUUCUUCUAGAACGCAAGAAACAAUUCCUACACUUGAUAUCUAGUCAUCACUCACUCUGUCACUCACUAGUCACUAGCUAUACCUGGCUAGCUUCAUUUGGUCAUAUAUGUUGUAUACAUAUGCACAUAUAUAUAUUUUGAUCUGACGUGGCAUAUAUAUGUGCAGUGCUGCUGAUGGGUAACGAGGUUGCCACGGCAGCGGCGCUGAUAUCGCCGGCAGCGGUGACGCGGUCGUGGCUGCUUCUGGCAUGGGUGAGCACGGUGGCUGGGAACCUGUCGCUGCUGGGGUCGGCGGCGAACCUGAUCGUGUGCGAGCAGGCGCGCCGGGCCCCACGGAACGCCUACGAGCUCACCUUCUGGAACCAUCUUGUCUUCGGCGUCCCCUCCACCCUCAUCGUCACCGCUGUCGGCAUCCCCCUCAUCGGAAAGAUGUAGCCACCCACCUCACCGCCGGCCACCGUCUGUCUUCUCCUGCGUUCAUUUCCUUCCUAUGUGUGUUGUUAAUGGCUUAACUUGUACCUAUGUAGCAAUGGAACUUAAUUGGCCUUGCUCUAAGAUUAUUUACAUAUAUAUGUAUGUUGUGAUGAAUCUAUCGAUUGAGGAGGCUUGGCCGAAGAUUAGAGCGAGAAAUUAAGGGAGGAGUGGAGAUCAUACCACGGUGUGCUAAUUUAAUUAAGCAGUGCACUAAGGUCAUGGAUCGGCAUGGAUAUUAAUUAAUUUCCUUCAAACAACAUAUAUGUACUCUACAUGUAUGUAUAUGCAGUGCAGGCAUGUGGUUGAAUGCAUAUGUACGUAUGCCAAGAUGUAAGGAAAUUAAUUAAUGUUAUCUUGUAUAGCUGGUUGGGAAAGAAAAAAUGUUCUUGCAUGUUGGCUUCUCAACCCCUCCGUUGGGCUUAUGUAUUAAUUAAUAGGCUCCUAAUCAUACAUACACCUAUAUGAUAUUGGAAGCUUGACUCCCUACACACAGGGAAUCAGGUCCUCUGUCUCUUAUGAAUAACAAAGUGUCUCUUUCCAGAGGCAGAUCUCACUUCCAUUAAUUUGUAUAAAAGGCAAUCAUAGUAUCUAACACUUGUUUGCAUAAUAUAAAUUAAUCGCACGAGUCAUGUCGCGUUUGUCUUGAGAGACAGCAGAGUUCACGGCUAGAGGGUUUACAUGCAUACUCUUGCAUAUUAACCUCAUGGCGUACUAGCUCCUUCGAGUACUUUUAAUUAAGAGAAAUUAAGUAUACUCCAUUUCUUCAGAGAGCUUAGUAAUGCUUUUUCAGGCAAUCAGAUGCUCUAUCUUUACCAGUAAAGCACUAAAGCUCACACACUAUUUACAUAUUUCGGUUCCUAAAAAAAUAAUCGGGAGGGUGUUCCCACUUGACAAAGAAAAAUACUACUAGUUGACAUUAGGUUUUUAGUUUCCAAUCAUUAAAGGUUUAGAUCUUAUCAAAUGAUGCAAAUACCCGUCCAAUUAAUUGUUCAUAACAGUGUUCCCCAUGUACUUGUGAAUCAAAUGAGCCCUCAAAGUUCAAGCUAAUCGAUCAUAGUAUUAUGAGUGGAAUAAUAUGUUAUGCCAGGGUUGAAAAUGGUCAGUUCAAAUUAAGGGUAAAUACACAAUAAUUCUAAAAUAUAAAGAACAACAGUUUGUUCACAGGUCCGUUACUGGAGAAUAUUUAACAGCAACUAGUGUAUAUAGCUGGUGACAGAAAACUAGUGAGAUUUAGUCGUAAGUGUUGAUACCUGUAUUCAGAAUACAUACAUGAGAAAAAUAUCUCAUGAGUAUAUGCUUCUCACCGGGCAUUACUCUAAGGGAAAAGGUCAACAAAAGGCUAGGUACAUUUAAUUAAUUAGCGACCUUUCUCCACAGGAAAUGGCCAACCAGUCCUCAGAUAGUUUCUGCAAUAUAACUUCAUAUCUUGCUAACUACUCCUCUUCUAUAAUUCUCAGGGUGAUGCAAACAUCGCUACUCCAAUGGCCAUCUGACAACAAAUUUUUAAAUUGGUGGGAUACUAUUAAGCAUGAUGCAACCUUCCAAUUGCAAUGGACUUCCUGUGCAUCUGACAACACAUUCACCACUGCACUAAUAUCUAGGUUAUGGUUUUAAAUUCAAAUGGCAUUUCAAGGAUGAUGAUGCAUGCAAACACGCAUUACGGCACUAACAUCGUGCAUCCGACAACGCAUUUUGCCACUGUAUAAAUAUUUGCAUAAUAAUAUUUCUAAGAAUGACGCUGGGAACUCACCUGCUAACUGCCACCAUCAGACAUUCCAACUGCACCACCAUAAAACUAUUGAGGCAGCCACCAAUUGAGCAUAUGCAAAUGCAGGCUUGGAGAGUCUCCCCAGCCACCUUGGCCACGCAUGACCUGCACAACUGUCACUGUAAUAACUAAAUUAACUCGUGAUCUAGUGAGAUAAGAUAACUAUAAGUAUCACUUUUGGAGUAGUAUCAAUGAAGGAGUCUUCAAGAUUGUCUCAUAAUCCUAGAUUACACAAUUACCUGAAUGAAAAUUCAGAGGACAAACAAGUCAAAUCAUUUUACAGGACGCAAUAUGCACCAUAUAUACGAUUUUACAGGGGAUAACUUGCAACUCGUGUUUUCUAUACUGUCUAGAUAACAAAACAAUCAAAGAGAGAAACAAUGCUGAGUAUGGUGCCAUGUUGGGUGAUGUAGUCUUUUCAGCUAGCGGACAUUAUGGUAAAUGACAAGUAACAAAAAUAGAAAAGGUCAGAAACAUAAUAUGAUUUUAAGAAAAAGAAGUCAAAAGAUGGUUUCUACCUUUAGUAAUAAGCCCAAAUUUUCUUUUGGAAUGAAAAGCCAGGACGAGAUUUUCUCUUCUUUGGACAAAAUUUUAUAUUUGUUUCCGCUAUGAUAUGUAAGUUAUGUAAAUACGACUGUAGCUCUUGCAACAUUUAACUAGCAUACAAAUGAAAGAAAAGGCAGGCUUGGACAAGUGAUGACAUCAGAAUUGCAUUUUCUGAAUCAGGAGGGAUUGAUUAGAUGUGGCUAUCGGGUUUUAUUUACUGAGGCAUUUACAGGUGAUACACUGAAAUGACCGGCUACAAGAAUGUUUUAAGCUAUCAACUAGAUACUGGCUUCUGUAGCCUGAUGUCAAGUAUUACAUACAGUAACCAGAGAAAAGCUAUAUGUAGGAUGGCUGAAUGCAUGCAUGUUGUUAAUAACUUUUCACUAGUCAUGUUUGCACGCCUCCAUCUAUGACCUGCCGAAGAGCAAAAGAUUAAUUAAUACCUAUUGCAACAGAGGGCUGAAGGAAAUAAAAUAGAGCAAAUCCACUUCUUAAAAACAGGGGUCAUGAGCACAACAAGGUUGUACAACCAUAUCAAUCCUUCCCUGAGCAAACCAAUACCCUUACUAGUGCAAAAUCCAAGUCACCAUAUAUGACUUUAUGGGUGGCCACCUGGUAGAAAAUGGUUGACGUAAUGAGUAUUGUGAAGAAAAAUGCCCAGUAUUAAGAAAUUUUACUACUUCUACAUAGUACAAUCUUGACAGGAUGAAUACAACUCUGAUUUUUAUGGAUUAAAUCUGAACAUAUCCAUUUGUUCGACAAUUGUUCCUAGCGAGACACAGGGAUCAUGUGGUAAAUAUCAUGCUGACCAGAAGGUCGGUGAAAUUAUCAUGCAGCGAAUGAAAGGCUUCACCAAAAACACAAAAGGAAAUGAGCUCACCAUCUGAAUAAAAAUAAAAGUAAAUGCCACAAAAGGUCCAGGACAUCUGAUAAGGCAGCAAUCAUCAGAAUGAGCAAACAGUGCAACAGCUUGGUUCACUAUGCUCAUCUGAAGGAACAAAGCAGCUCUAAUGUCUUCAUCAGUGCCCAUCAGCGAUUUACCUUCAAAUUUAUUCUGUCCAUGUACUAGAUAAUUAGCUACAACUCGAAACCAAUAUAAUGUAGAUUAACCGGGGAAAAAGAGCUCACUGAAAGAAAGUCUGAAAAUGUUGCAGCCCUGAAAAAAAAUGGCUGUACUCAGAACUAUGUAGCUACCAAAAGCAACACCUCGAUUUUCUUAACUCUCCAUCUAUCUGGUGACUCACUGAGUUCUAUCCUUUCGAAUAAUAUUGCAAAGGAUGAACCUUAAAAUAAAGUAAAAAGCAAAGAACAAUUUGAAGACGAAAAGGAGGACACAAACAGUAUAUGCUGUAAAAUAAGGUUGUGGGUUCUUUUGCAGCCAAAACUCACAGCAAUUAAAAGCAGCAAUCACCAAAGCCAGGAAACUUGACAAGUCAAAGUUCCAUAAAAGGAAAAUGACACGAACACCUAACUUCAAUAAAAUGAAUGGCUGAAGUCAGCAUUGCACAAUGCAGUGGUUUAUAAAAAACUAUCAAGGCAUAAUAAUAACUUUUACUCACGAGAUGGGCAGUAGAUGAAACAGUGUAGAUCUGCAACAAAAGCAACAUUUAUUUGUUUAUCAUGAUAUAGACACCAAAUAUCAUGCCAGCAAUACAACCUAUAAAUACAUCAGAAUGACUUUCCAUGUAGCCCUUCAUAAUCUUACAAAUCUCCCUACUGAUUCGGAUGGCUGAUGAAAUAGGUAUCAUGGAAGGCUGAGUCAAAACAAGAUCGGAUUCACUUUUGGUGUAAUCAGUGGCAUCAGCUACUGAAAUUCCAAUAUGGCUUUCACCCAUAGCAUCAUGAUCAAGAAUUCAUACCCAACCAUCGCACAAUGACAUCCAAAAUUGGCCAACCUUCUCACUAUAUCACAGUUGUCCUCUGCACUAAUAAAUCAAGAUAGCAAAACAGUAAGAUUUGUGCUCUAAAGGCUAGAUUCCACAACCUUAAAGUGGCAUUCUUAGUGAUGGCGUUAUGGAUGCUUGCAGAUCAGACGCUUAAUGUUGUUUAAGAGGUGUGCUUCUACUUUUUUUGACAGCAUAGAAGCACUACUCAAACGGUGAAUACUAAAGUGAAUCUUCUUUUGAAACCGGAGGACACAAGCAUUAGCAGGGACAAUGCCCCAACCUUGAGAAAUAUAAUAUCGCCAGGGACCAGAUUAGCUGCAUGCACAUCAAUCCACCUCCCAUCCCUCAACACCUUGGCCCUUGGUGCAUAUGCUUUGGCCUCCAGCGUAGCCUUAGCAUACUCCACAACAAGCUUUGCAGUAAAGCGCGCUACUAAGCUUGCAGCUAGUAAAAAAAUGGCGGUGGCCAGCAUGUAAGAUCUCUGGUCAGCCGACACGAUGGCGAGAGACACAACUGUAGUUAAUACUGUAACCCAUGACAUGGAAUUAAGUAUGACACAGACCAUGUUGUUGUACUUAGGGAAGACAUGAUCCCAUCCCCAGAGUGAGAAGAUUGUCAUCACGAAAUUUUGAAGCAUGCUGUCCUCCUGCAGCAGCAAUAAAUUUGACCUUAUGAAGCUGCAUUCGUCGAAAACCUGUAAAUGAUACAGCAUGGCUAACAGACCUAUUUUUUCAAAACUACAUAUCAAUUGGCCCUUCUUUGUGCAGCUUGUCCAGGUCAACUAAUACCAAACCAUCACUUUCAACAGGAUGGGCAGUGAGAGAUGAGUUCUGCAGGAAGAGGAAGUUUCUGACUUCUCAGCUCUUGGAAAUAGGAAUAGCUAGCUAGGAUAAUUACCAUAUAGAGAAUUAGCAAUAUUCUUGGGAGACAUCUUAAAAAAAUAAUAGUGAUAGAUAGGUGACUACCAUUCACUGUGUUUCUAGCAUUAACAUUACACUACCUUACAAAGCAAUAUAUGAUAAUAAUAUAUCUACUUGUACAUUUUACACAAAAGAGUGCCAGCAGUACUGAGAAUAAUGCUCAGAUUUUGGAAAAUCGAGCCGUGCAUUCUGGUGAUCAUCGAUGACAUAUGUGUUUAGCACUCGACGUCGAAUAAUUGAAUCCACGAAACAAAUGCAGGAACGAAUUCAUCCAACCAGUUGAGAGAGAGAGAGAGAGAGAGCGCCGAGCGCACGCACGUGGUGUGAGCGGAGGACUAUGUUGGGCCCGUGGACGCGGAGCCGCCGCGCGGCCUCCUCGCCGGUGAGCCCUCCCGCAUUCUCCCCCGUGCCCAGCCGCCGCAGCACCUCCGCCGCCGCCGUCUCCUGCAAUCCCCCCCGCGUCAGAACUCAGAAAAGCAGCCCAACCCGAAAUAGGAAAGAAAAAAACACAGGUUACUACAACCACGGCGAGCGAGAGAGAAGAGCGUGCUCACCAGCUCCGCCACCAUGUCCUCCGGCGACGCCAUAUCACCCGCCCCCGCCGCGGCGCAUCUGCGGCAUUCAUGGGAUGCGCUCCCAUUCGAACAGAACGGAACCAAUCCCAAGGGAGAGCAGAUGGGCCAGAUGAGUCAGAUGAGCAGAGGAAGGCCCAACAUGAGGUAAGAAGGCCGAGGAGUGGCCUGGAUGAGUAGGCCUAACAUGAGGAAAGGCCUAGUGGGCUGGAAGAGUGAGGGGGCAGAGAGAUAGAUAAGGCGAGAGGCCCAAUAUGAGGAAAGGCCCAUGGGCUGGAAGAGUGAGGGCCGGGCAGAGAUAGAUAAGGGGAGAGUGAUCCCGUGUCGCUUCGGCUUCCUCCGCUCGUCUCGUCUCGCCUCCAUUUUUCCUCCCAAACCAAACCGCACCACCAACCAAAAAACGCCACGCCUUCCCUCGCCGCCGCCGCCAGCCGCCGCCGGGCUUCCCUCCCCGCCGCCGCUGCCGCCGUGCACCGUUUCUUCUCUCUCUGUCUCCCUACCGGGGAGUCCCCGUUCUCUUCGGCCCGUGGUACGCUCUCCCACCACCACCUGCCCUCCUCCUCCUCCUCGCGGUCCUGUGCGCGCGUGCUGUCGGGGUUAGGGUUUAGGUUGGGGCGCCUUCUCCGCCGCCGCGCGGGGCUCGGAUAGGCAGGCGGGUCUCGCAAUCCGGCUAGGGCUUGCGUCCUCCGCCGCAAACUUAAUUCCGUUAGGGUUUAACCCCCCCAUUUCCGCUGCCGUCCCUUGUGGCUCGCGUGCAGUUGCAUUUCGUGUUACGCUCGUGUCGUUUAGGGUUGGUUCGUCGUUUCCUGUGUUUUUUAGGGGGUUUACGUUGCGUCAUAGGUUACUGGACCAAAUGGGCGCCGCCUUGACUAGUAAUUUCUCUUUGAUUAGGGGGACGUUCAUGUUCUGUCUUUGGGAUGGAAAAUUUCCGAGUUUCAUUGCUUGAUGGAUGUUUGUUGCGUUGCAAGUAAUUGGGCAUUGAAUCUUUGAGAUCGUAAGACAAGAUAAGGUGCAGAGAUUAUUAGUUCUCCCUCUCCUGUAUUUCAUUUAACCCGAACAAUACUCCUUUGAACGAAGUGGGAAGCAAUUGGCUUGCAAUAGGUAGUCAUGUUUGACGUGCCACUCAGUUGUUCAAUGUGUAAUCCAUUUGGCUGGGACUGUAUGCACAUCUUGUAGAAAAUUUAUUCCCAUGAACUUGGCUGUAUUAGUCAUGUUUUGCUUGGUCAUCUAAGUUUUUGCUCUCGUAUCCAUUUUCCAUCUCUUCAUUGUUCAUCAUUUAUAGUUGACAAAAUCCUUUUACUCAUCUUUUUCCCUGUCUCUUUCUGUUGUGUAGUUAGUAAACUGUGUUGUUGAAGGAAGCAUACAUUCCCCCUAUUUGUCAACAAGAUCACUGCAUGAUCCAGAGAAGUGUGGUCAUAGCCUGUUCUGAAGAGAAAAUAAGGGAUACCCUGAAUUUUUGUACAGGGUAAGGUUUGCAGAGUUAAUAGCUGGCCAUUGGAGUACUUGGUGGUAGAAUACCUAAAAAGGAGAUACUUGUAAAUUUUCUGGUGCAUUCAACUCCUCCCAUAUAUUUUUCUCUGGCAUUGGCAAUAAUGUCAGAAAGUGAAUUAUCUGUAAUAAAACCAGAGGUAUGAUUUGUGCUUAUUUAACUUGAACUCAUUUUUCUUAGUGGAAAAACCUGCUUUCUAUUCUUAUUUAAGUCUUACUUAAGCUUUUGUGACCUUGCAGGCGUUGAAGACUUAUAUUUGGCUUCAGUGCUUUGAUGGAUCCAUACAGCAAGUGGAGGAGGAGGUUGCCAUGUUCUGCCCAAUGAUAUGUCGAGAAAUUGUGAAAAACGGGACAGGGUCAUCCAAAAAUCAUGCUAUUGCUCUCCCAGAAAGAGUUAAUCCGGCAAGUUUGAGUUUGAUUCUUGACUACUGCCGGUUUCAUCAAGUCCCUGGGCGCUCAAAUAAGGUCUGUUGCAAUUGUUGUUGGCCUGUCCAUUGCACCUUUUUUUUUCUGUAUCUAUCUUCGAGCCAUGAACAUGUUCCAAGUAUAGAUUGUUAUGUAUUUUUUUUUCCUGUAAUAAUCAUGUGAGUCCGUGGUAAUGCUUGGCUCAUCCCAAGCAUGAUGGUUGCUUUAAGUUUCGUACUUCAGAAAGAAAAGGGUUCAUUGGUCACUGAAUUGGAUGUUAUAUUCUGUCAGGUGUAUAUGUUUAUUAUGACUUGAAGAUAAUCAUUCGAUAGGCAAACCUCUGUUCCAGUUAUCUUAUCAGGCUUUUCCUUUAUUAUGCAGGAGCGGAAGUCGUUUGAUGAAAAGUUUGUUAGGAUAGACACAGAAAAACUCUGUGAGCUGACAUCUGCAGCUGAUAGUCUUCAAUUAAAGCCACUGGUUGAUCUUACCAGUCGAGCACUUGCUCGAAUCAUUGAAGGAAAGACACCUGAGGAAAUCCGUGAUAUUUUUCAUUUACCAGAUGACUUAACUGAGGUAGGAUAGCCGGAUAGCAUUUAUAAUUUUGAAUAUUAGCAUGUUCGGUACUUACUGUCAGCUUACAUGCAUCCAGGAAGAGAAAUUGGAGCCCCUAAAAAAUAUUAAUGAUGAUCCUAGGAUCCGCUUAUUGAAUCGAUUAUAUGCAAAGAAGCGGAAAGAGCUACAGGAACGCCAGAAACUGAAGGUCGUUCUGAUAGAUUUCACCUGUUUUUCAUCCUUUGAUAUGUUAGGUCCUGCACAAUGAUGUUUAUCUCUUUCAUCCAGUUGUCUUGCUCUUGGUUGAGUCUUACGUAUUCUUUUCGUGGUUUGUUUCAGGAUAUUCAAGAACAGAAAGAGCAGAAAGACGAGCGAUCUUUGGAUGAGAUACUAUGCUUCAUAAAUGGGGAUGGAGGUAUAACUGCAGUGAGUUAUAUUGACUAUAUAACAUAUAGUAGACGUUAAUUGCUACCAAAGUUGUUGUCCUGGACCAACAAAGAUAAAUGGGGAUGGAGGCAUAUGCCUGCUAUAUGGAUAACUAUGCACUGGUUUGAAUUCGAGAUACAUUUCACUGGUCAAGAUAUUACUACAGUGAAUGCAUAUGCCUGUUCAGUCACUCAGCUUUACUGAAAUCCUACAUCAUUAGGGUUCACUAACUUGUCCACCAUGGGCUGUUUCAUCUUGUAGAUCUAUUACCGGACCAGAAUAGUAGUUCAAUUUUCUGAAUUAACUGUAGAACAUAUAAAAGCAUUGUUGGCCCAAUUAAAUUAUUUCAAGGCGAGGUUUGGAAAUAUGGGUACAGUGAAGUAUUGAAUUAUCUUUGUUAUAGACUGCCCAAAAGGAAAUGGAAUAAGUAGAUUCUUGUUGAUGCGGCAAUCUAGGGAGUAAUGUAAGAGGUAUGUUGCCCAGCUGUUUUUUAGGAGGCUUCAGCACAGCUAUGCAUAUGGUUCUAAGAAUAACAUUCACAUUUAAUUAGUCAGCUGCACGUCUAUUUCUAUUUUUACUUGUUAACUGAUAUUAAGAUUCCGUUGCUGUCUUAUGCUUGUGCUCUGUUAUAAUAUCUUGGUUGACUUAGCUUGGUUACUGUUUUAAGUUAACCCAAUGUCCACAAUGCUGCAAGCACGCAAUAUGAACACUCCAUCAAUCUAUUUUAAUAAAAAUUCCCAGUCAUUGCUCAUAACAAUUUGUCCAAUUGACAGGUUCUGGAGGUGGAAAAGCUGCUAAGAAUAAGAAAAAGAACAAGAGGAGGAAGGAUCAUGCUAAGAAUCCCCAAAAGGCUGAUCCUGAACCUGGAAAUAUGGUUAUAUCUUGUUACCCUUUUUUUGCAGUACAGUUAUAUAAAUAGUAUGCUAUUCCUUACACUGUCAUUCUGUUGAGUUUAGGAGGGAGCUGCAUGUGCGGUUGUUGGUGUUGGUACUAUUUCUAGAGCACCUUGCCAAAGUUCAGAUGUGCAAGAUGAUGCUGAAUACCCCUUUGAAGAUGGUGACCUUGAUGAUGGACUUGAUCCUGCAUUGCAGGAAGAGCUUGAUAGGUGAGGAUAUUGUCUCUCUUCUGUACAUCUAUGCAUGCUAUUAGCAUAGUUUUGGCUUUGCUAUGUUUGAAUAUUCUUUUCUUUCUGAAGCCUUAACUGUUAUGGCAGACCUAAAAGUAGAUAUUUUUUGCGCUGAAAUAAUGAUCUUUAAAUUUGCUAGUGCCCAUUUUUGAUGAGCUAUUCUAAAAAUAAAGUUGCCGAGUUCAAAACUUAGAAUUGAAAGUAGCAUAAUUCAGUUGCAAUAUGCUGCCAGCAUAAAUGUUCACUUGUACCUGGGCUUGCUAUUGUUUAUCCUUGAUUAUUAUUUCUGUUCUGUAUUGGGAAAGCUGUUAAAGCCAUUAAUGCCCGAACCAAUUCCUUGAUAUGGAUCAAUGACAUGCUUCAUACAUACAGAGAAGUGGAAGACUUUGCGAGGAGGUUGAAUUCCGUUUGGCCUGAAAGAAGAAGAAUUGAGUCACAGCUAAACGGUGGUAAUGGUUCUCUGCAGAGAUUUUCUGGUAAUUUCUCCAUGUAGAGCAGUCAAUACAGUAGAGGUGUUUAUUUUCACUCUUAUUGUAAAGAAGAAGAAGAAUAAACCGCAGUUGAAUCUCUUUGAUUAGUUGAACGUAUCGACCUCAUUCUUGCACUAGAAUAUUCCAUAACUUGGUGAAGUCUGCAACUGAGAUCGCAUUAAUUGUUGUCCUGUGUUCAGGGCUUAAUCACAGGUGAAUGUCAAGCAGCAGGAUCAGCAAGCAGAAGCAUAGGAAAUUUGUGCACAUACAGCUUCGAAGUGAGCUAGAGACCGAAGUGAGCACCUGUUACUUGAGUGCCGAAGAGGCCUUGAAACUCGGAACCAAGCUUGCAGACAAUGUGCGUCUUUUUUUCCCCUGGCCAUUUUGGGCGCAGGGGCUGGCUCAUCAGGUUGGGAUGAAGCAUAGCGAGGUUUAGAUAGAUCAAGGAACAGGAGAUCAUUUUUCCAGUCGUGUUAUUUCUUGGGGGGAGUUGACUCGGUUUUUGUUCUUUCGCUGUAUUGCCCAUUUUCCUGGAUAGAGCAGAGUGUGCAACUGUAACAGAUAUCAGUCACUGCUGUGAAAGAAAUUCCGUUGGUUUACUUUUGGUUCCUCAGUUGCUGCAAAAAGGGAAGUCGGUCCAGGCUAUUUUGUCACUCGAAACAGAGUAAACUCUUGCAGCCUGAACUUUUUAAUUGGGCAUUCUGCGAUUCCAAUACGCUUUUGAUCUGUAACGGUUUUUAUCAUGCCCCCUACACUGAUAGCCCUACGUAACAAAUGCUUGUCAAAACUGUAGUGUGCAUCUGAAAUCUUCACCUUUACUGUACAUCUUUUACGGCACAUCCCUACGCUAUCCUUAUUGUACAUGGUCCUACGGCUACAACUUUGGGAGCAUAUAUUGGAAACAAUAUCUCUUAUCCGGAAGCUCAAAGAAAACAAAAACCUGAACCAAAUAAUUUUCUACUUCAACAUUUAAUUGAAAGUUUAGGGUAAUAUGUCUGCACAAUGGCGUAAAAUAUUUUAUAGAAUAACAUGAUUGAAAUUAAAUAAAAAACAUAUUGGCGACAUGGGCCAUAAGACACAUUUUGUGUCGCUCUGUUUUUGUGUCAUUGUAAAACGAUUUGAACCGCCCCAAUGCCCACUGACAGAGUCACAACCUGCUAAUGAAUCAAGCCUUAUCAGACAGACGACCACUCUCCAGCGUGGCCAGGAUCGACAGUUCCGACGAUGAUGGCCAGCCGCUCCUCCAUGCAACGGACAAAAAGCUCGCCCGCUCACCGACAUGGCCGGAGCAUCCUUCCCCUGUUCCAUGGUUCCGUCCCUCCCACUUAAGCUAUAUAAAGAGCACAUCGUUCAGCAGCAACACAGCACAACACAGAGAGAAAACCAAACCACAAACGACCAAGAUGGCUUCUUCCUCCUCGACGAGCACGCUGCUCCUGGCAGCAGCGAUCCUGGCGACGCUGGCGAGCUCCUCUUUCAAACCCAGAAUGAAUUUGAGAGACCAACAUCAAACCACCAAUGGUGUCAUCAUACAAACGUAUCUGGUAAACAAGCAAAUCAAAUUGGCGGCAAUAAUCAGCGACAGAGCCCACCUGGCGCAACUGCAACAGCUCACGAAUUUUAUCGCGCUGAGUGUUAUUCUCAAAUUCCUCUAACACGGCAGCACUAAACUGUUCCCAUUCAUGCCAGCCAACUGCACGUUUGUAUGCCUGUUACCAGUGAGCAGCACUCCCACGCAGAUACAUGGUGGCUGCUGCGACACGAAAACCCGGUGGAAUUUGAUACAUGGCAAAAUAAGUGUGGCACUGAUCAAUCCAAAUACUGGCAUCACUACCAUCAAAACGGGGAAAAUCCAUCUUAGGUAACCAGUUUUUGCGCCCACCCGAAUCGACACCUCCCACAGAUGACGAGGAUCGUAAGAGGAGUAUGCGGGGGAAACUGCACCUGAGGGCGAGCUGGAGGGGCGCCGAGUGAUAGGGAGCGCGGAGGUGGUGGCGGUGGUGGUGGUGGAGGUCGGCCGGAACCAAAGCCCACCAUGUCGAGGGUGGUGGUGGGGUUCGGCACGAUCAAUGGGGGCUGCGCCGCUCCGCGCCCGAUGUUGGUGGUGGUGGUGGUAGCCGCCGCGGCCGCCUGUUCCUGCCGAACCUUCCCCAAGGAAUCGAGCGAUAGGUCGACCUUCGUCUGAACCAGAGCGAGAUGCAUCGCCUGCUCGGACAGGGUAGUGCAGAGGGCCGAGAACCGCGUCUCCAUCUCCUUCGUUUGCUGAUCGAGCUUCAAGGUCAGCGCCGCCAGCAACCGUUCCUCCAUCCCCUCCAUAGCCUCAACCACUUGGCGGACGGCUAGGGUUGGUUUGGAGGGAGCCGUGAUUGCUGUGCUCGCUGAUCAACCGCAGAUCGGUAUUUCAGUCGCGGAGCGGAUCCACAACCAACCUCUCGUUGGAAUUACAAUCAGGCCGAGCAGACAGCGAGGAAAAAUCGCCUAGCUCUGAUACCACAUGUGAUGCCCCGAAGGGAAUCACUCGCCCGAUCAGAUCGGAGUUGGGGAAGAAGACCGGAGAAGCAAGGAGAGAGCAGAAGGGAAUCUAGAUUGAGUUGGAAUAAUAUUCUGUUACAAUGACGAUGACUUUCCCCAACUCACACGCUACCACUUAUAACCCUCAGCGAUCUCACUCGGUUACAUGAUUUCAAACAAAUUUCUAAGAAAUGACGACUGUGGCAAGUCACCAAGGUGCACGUACCCACACAUGCAUACAGCUAACUCUAGCACGAUCGAACAGCCUGCAUGCACGGCUCAUGCAAAGCAAGCAACGAAACGAAAGGUCAGACACUAGCUCCUAGAGCCACGGCGAGCCGCGUCUGCAUGCAACGGCCAAGCUCAGUCUCCUCUCACGUACGGCCUGCCGCGUAAGCCACCGACAUGGCCGGAGCAUCCAUCCCCUGUUCCAUGGGUGGUUCUCUCCCUUCCUGCCCAAGCUAUAUAAACACCCGUCGCACAUCAACAACACAGCACAACACAGAGAGAAAACCAAACCACAACCGACCAAGAUGGCGUCUUCUUCUUCCUCGACGCUGCUCCUGGCAGCAUCGAUCCUGGCGACACUAGCAAGCUCCGCCCACGGCAUCCCCAAGGUACCUCCAGGCCCCAACAUCACGGCCACCUACGGCGACAAAUGGCUGGACGCCAAGAGCACCUGGUACGGCAAGCCCACCGGCGCCGGCCCCAAGGAUAACGGCGGCGCCUGCGGCUACAAGGACGUGGACAAGGAGCCCUUCAGCGGCAUGACAUCCUGCGGCAACACGCCCAUCUUCCGCGACGGGCGCGGCUGCGGCUCCUGCUUCGAGAUCAAGUGCACCAAGCCCGACGCCUGCUCCGGCGACCCCGUCCUCGUCCACAUCACCGACGACAACGAGGAGCCCAUCGCCGCCUACCACUUCGACCUUUCGGGCCACGCCUUCGGCUCCAUGGCCAAGAAGGGGAAAGAGCAGGACCUGCGUAGCGCCGGAGAAGUGGAGAUCCAGUUCCGGAGGGUGAAGUGCAAGUACCCUGAGGGCACCAAGGUGACGUUCCAUGUGGAGAAGGGGUCGAGUCCGAAUUACUUGGCGAUUCUCGUCAAGUAUGUGGGUGGCGAUGGGGACGUGGUGGCCGUUGAUGUGAAGGAGAAGGGCAAGGAUGAGUGGGUCGCGCUCAAGGAGUCGUGGGGCGCCGUGUGGAGGCUUGAUACUGCCAAGCCGCUCAAGGGCCCGCUUACUGUCAGGUAUACUACUGAUGGUGGCACCAAGGGCGAGUCUGAAGAUGUCAUCCCUGAAGACUGGAAACCUGACACCAUGUAUGAGUCCAAGUGAUUCAUUCUUCAUCGAUCCAUCGUCGGCCAUGCCUGCAGGUUACUACCAUAUACUCCUGGCGUGGCCUGCAACUUAACAGAGAAUAAUCGUCGAGAUCGAUCUGCAGUGAGGCGAAUAUUGCGUACAAAAGUUUAUAGUAUGCCGGAGGAAGGCAGGCAACCAAGGAUUUGUUUCUGCUUGGUUUGCAAUCGAUCCGGCCAGCCCAUUCUCGGUCUCGACCGCCUUGUUUUUUUUUUUUGUUACUCAAGCUUGUUCAUGAGAUCAUUAUCAAGCAAUAAAAUGACUCUUUUUUUUGUAUAUGUUUUGGACUGUGCAAUUUGAUGAGUAUGUUAUUUCUUUGUACAUUGUUUUGUUUGGACAACGUCUGAGUUUCAUAUGAAUUUUCUAUGAAACAACUCGAUCAAUGCAAGCACAAGUGCAGAGCAACACAUGGAUGCUAAUUCCCAGAUGAGUUAUAAUAAAUCAACAAGGAACUCUAACAGGACCGUCGAGGGAAUUUGGGGCCCACAAGGCAAAACGCUGAGUGAGGGCUUAAAUUUUGUAAAACAAAUCAUUUUUUCUAUGAAGUUUGCUAAACGCAAAUUUUGCACAUUAUCUUAUUAAACACAAAAUUAUUUUUUCUGGAUUUUUAUAAAAUACAAUUUUAAAAUGGUACUUUUAGUUCAAACUGAAACCAUAGCCCCUUUUGAACUUCAACAAUGUUCAAAUUCAACCUUACACACAAUGAGCUAAUAUUUUUAUAGAAUGUUAAUAAUAAUCAACAAAGGCCAUGGUAAGAAUUUCAUUAAUUUUGGAGCUCAUUUAGAAAUUCAUAUCUACAGAAAAAUCGGUAGAGUUAAACAUAAAUAGGAAAAGAAAAUUGCAUGGCCCCCGCACGACACAUUUGUGUCAUAUGCGGUUGGCUCCCCACGGAUUAAUCCCUCACAAGAGAGCUCGCCGCCGCUGGACCCGCAAAACUUUAACCCCAAAGACCAUGCGCCCAUGCUGGUUCGAGCUCCUCGAGGUCGUGAUCUUAAUUUUCUGCGGUUGUGCCCUUGGUCUUGUUUCGCGAAUUGGCUUCACUUGUGGCGGUGAAACGUAUAAAGGUGAAAAGAUCAUGAGUUUGAGUUGAAGGGGAUGUUAAGACGACAAUUCUGAGCAUCCAAACCCGAUAGAUUUUGGGAUGGAUCAAGGUAGAACUAAGCAAACUAUAGAUAACCAGGGAAAUUCUUUACUCUGUUAUUUCUUUGUACAUUAAUUUGUUUGGAACGGCAGAACUUCAUAUGGAUUUCGGCACGAAACAACUCCAUCAAUUCAAGCAGAAAUGCGGCGCAGGUAUCUCCCAAGCUCGGUAAAUUCAGUGGAAGACGAUUAGAUCAACAAUAUCUUUUUUGGAGAUGAACGGUAAGAGUAUAUUAACUCAGUAGUGAAGACGAGCCGUAAGUUUAAAACGGGAACGAAAGCUGACUGAAGCUACUAACUUGUGCACGGAUGAGAAUUCGUAAGAGAGGUGGGGUGAGUCUGCGCGAGUCCUGGGUGCAGGAGGUAGAGACCAUUGGCCAUUCUAGAGAUCACCAUCCAAGAAUUCAAAUUGUCUUAUCACAUAAAUCAAAUUGUUUGAUUUGCUAGUACAUGGUAUUACAGUCAUACAAACAAGCACAUCUUGGAUCUAAGCCACAUGUUGACCCGGGAGAAAUUUUUUUAAAAAAAAAUCACAGAUAACGGAAUACAGAGUUCACAACCUGGGAGAAAAUAUGUUCUUAGAUCUUCAACCAAAGAAUAAAUAUAAUAAAAGUUUGAACCAAAGAUUAAUUACAUAGCCUCGACAAUUAUUUAUCUAUCACGUGCAUGACACAUGCGUCCUUCUCGCGAUCGAUCAAUCGAAUUAAGGGGGAAACAUAAAUGAAAACACUUGGGAUCAAUCAGCCAUGGAUCGAGCCAGAUCAGUACUCUUGGGGCUUGUAGGUGGUGCCGACCUUGUAGCUCUCGGGGAUGACGUCAUCGAAGACAUUCUUGAGCCCCUUGUCGGAGAGGAAGCGGAAGUUGAAGGGCGCCUUGAUUAUGAACUUGAGGAAGACAUUCUUGAGCCCCUUGUCGGUAGUGGUCCCUCUUACUUGGGGCCUGGCCCAUCGCAGGCCGCAUGUGCGCUCUCAUGCACGGGCCUCAGUAAAUAUGGCUUAAAAACUCAAUUUCGGAAACUUUUGAUCCAGUCCGUGUAAAGAAGAUAUGGUUACUGUAGAUGUUCGUCACUGUGUCCAUCAGUAAAUAUGGUUUUAAAAUAUAUGGUUAAAAUGUAUAAAGUUUAAUUUAGUACGACAAAACAAAGAUGUCAUCUUUUUUUGAGUGAAAGGAGUAUGUUUAUUAUUCAAAUUGGAUCUAAAAGCGCUAACACCUUGUUUGGAUGUAGACAUUGAGCCUUAGCAUUAGACAUUGACAUUGGAAAAGUCACGAAUAUCAAUAUUCAAGAUGUUUAACUGGUUUAGGUAUUCAAUCUUGACAUUCUGGCUCAAUAUUGAACAUCCAGUAGCCAAAAUUGGCUCCCUACCAAUUCAGAGGUAACUGGGGAUUCGUUGUUCCCCCGACCGAACACCCAGGCUCGAACCCGCUCAGCGCAAUUCUUUUUUCCUUUUCCUUCUUAACGACACAGCAGGCGGCUUUUCUCAGCGCCUCCCUCCCCGAGCCAGCACUUCUCCUCCCUGUAGCGGCGGCGGCGCAGGUAGGUCUUCUCCCGCCCGCCUCCUCCUCCACCGGCGGCUCAGCCCGCCUCCCUACCAUGCGCGGUCCAAGCCCGCGACCCCACAGCGGCGUCCUACCUCCUUCUCCUUCGGCCGCAGUCCCUUUCCGCCGCUCUCUGCAGGCCGUUCCAACAAAAAAAAGGAAGCUCCGGAGUCGCACCCGGCACCUCCACCCUGAGCAGCGGCGAUGCCGGCAGCCUGCCGCCCUGCCACCCUCCCUUCGGUGGCCCUCCUUCUUGGCGCCCUCCCUAUCAGUACUGCAGGUCAACGACGACCCCACCCGGAGGCUGACGUGACCGGGCGGCUGGUGCAGGUAGCGAUGACCUCCUCUGUCCGGCACAGCCGCACAGGUAGGCUCACCCCCUCCUCCUUGUACUGCUGCUGCUGCCCCGCCACUACCUCCUCUGUCCGGCUUACUCCCUCGGACGAGCCCAAACAAGAAGAAAGUUCACGAAAAUAGAAACGGACCUGAAUCCUGGUGUUGCAAUUAGUUGCCGCGUAAGCAAAUUAAGAUUGCUGGGGAAGCAAGCAAGCAGACGAGCAGUAUUUGGUACGUGAAACUGCGAUGUGUAAUCUUGGGAGCAAUUGGAUUAGUUUGUGUUGUCAAGCAGCAGCAACUGGAUUAGUUUGUGUUGUUAGGGAAAUACUGGACAUGAUGUAUUUGUUGUCAAGCAGCAGGACACCGGAGACAUGGGAGCAAUUUGAUUAGUUUCCAUGACACUCAGUUGCUAUUUUGUUGUAGUUGUCAUAUUUUAAAAAUCUUUAAAAUUGCUACAUUAUUAAAAUGUAACACAAAUACACAUCGGUAUAUGUAUAGAACAGUGUAAUCACCAUCCAAUUCCAAUUCAUCACUUUAACCAUCCAAACAAGAUUUGGCAUUCAACCUCAAUAUCAAGUCUGAGUUCUGAGUACCUAAACAUCCAAACAGAAAUAUUGACAUUCAAUCUCAAUAUCAAUAUCCUAUGAUAUUAGCAUUGGAGCCAAUACAAUGCCAAGCAUCUCAAUAUCUACAUCCAAACAAAUCCUAAAAAAAUAAACAAGGACAAAUCCUCCUUCAAGAAAGGAAUUAACAUUCUCAUUUAUUUUAUUUCACGGAGUGAUACGCUGUAAGCCCUUAAUUUUCUGUUACAGGAGUGCUUAUAUCUUGUGUAAAUUAUAGAGAUGAAUUGAAUUGAUGAGACAUACUUUGUCAAAACAAAGUUAAUUGGACCAGCACCAGAAAUACGAAGACCCUUCGGCGAGGAACAUAUGAGAACUCCUCAGACGCUCUGCAAGUAGUUCACCAGAUCAACCUCAAUAUGCGCUCUUGGACUGAUAAACUUAAAUUAAAUUAGUACUGCUAUAGAAUCAAACUGAGAAUACACCGAUUAACCAAAGCGGCUGUUGCUAUAACCUUCUGAAUCUACAGUGUAUUGCUGAAUGAUUUGUUUGCAAAUUCCAGAACAGCAAAGUUUGCCUUUGGAGACUCCCAUGGUGGCUGCCAGAAAAGAGUGACGGGGAAUACCGCGAUGAAAAUGACGAAUGCCAGAAAGAAAUGUCCCGAGGGCCCCAUAAAUGAGUGAAAAAAGCAUUAUAUUUGCUUGCAGUGAGAUACACAGUAAAUAAUUGCACAUUAGUUUGUCGUUCCGUAGCAACGCACGGGCACUCCACUAGUAGCUAUAGGUUGUCGAUAAGUAGCUAGCUAGGAGUACGUAUUAAUCAAUCAUAGGGAUUAUAUUUCUGGAGUCGAGAUCGCCCGCGUAAGUGCUCAGAGGAAGUAGCAGGCUACAUGAUACUCAGAUCCAUGCAACCAUUUCUACAAGCGGCGGAGAGCUGGUACCAGCAACGCACGCGGGCUGGUACUAGCUCUCCAGCUAGAGAUUCAGUUAACUGUAUACAUGGUAGACAUGGACGUACUAUACAAAGCACAGGCCCCGUGACGAGAAGUAACGUACGAUCGAGAUCGACCAGACCACCGCAAGCACAAGGGAUCGAUGAUGGCGAUCAGCCGCCAGCAUCAUCUGCUCCUGGUCCUCCUGCUCCUCGUGGCCAUAUAUAUAUGAUGCCUCUAUGGCCAAAAUUGAUGGCAAUGAUAAGAAUUACGGAAAUGGGCAAGGGGACACUAUGAGCGUGCAUAUGGUAUACCAAGCCGCGUGAACUGCUGGAAUCUCGAUAUGUCUAUAUAUAUUGGAUAUCUAAACUAUACGUUUUCUAUGGAGUUCAUCUUGCCGGCUUUACUUUUUUUCGCCCCCCUCAUCCCGAAUUUCUGGCUCCGUCCCUCACUGCAGGUUUGAGCUAAGGCCUUCUUGGUAAAUAGAGUAACUCCUCGAGCUGUAGGGUAUUCAUUUCUGGUACUGGUCAAUUGAUUUGGCCAGCGUCAGUUACGUGCAAGUUGACAUCCUAUCGUGUCGAUUCAUUUCUCAUCUGUUCAAAUUUCAGUUUUACGGUACCCCUAUACCGUUUGAGGAGAGGAAGAAG
rnacentral:lncRNA from 1 species